rnacentral:rRNA from 1 species
CGGAAUGCUUUACACAUGCAAGUCGAGCGGCAGCGCGGGGCAACCUGGCGGCGAGCGGCGAACGGGUGAGUAAUGCAUCGGAACAUGUCCAUGUCGUGGGGGAUAGCCCGGCGAAAGCCGGAUUAAUACCGCAUACGCCCGAGAGGGGAAAGUGGGGGACCGCAAGGCCUCACGCGAUUGGGUUGGCCGAUGUCCGAUUAGCUAGUUGGCGGGGUAAGAGCCCACCAAGGCGAUGAUCGGUAGCUGGUCUGAGAGGAUGAUCAGCCACACUGGGACUGAGACACGGCCCAGACUCCUACGGGAGGCAGCAGUGGGGAAUUUUGGACAAUGGGGGCAACCCUGAUCCAGCCAUUCCGCGUGAGUGAAGAAGGCCUUCGGGUUGUAAAGCUCUUUUGUCCGGAACGAAACGGUUACGGCGAAUACCCGUGACUACUGACGGUACCGGAAGAAUAAGCACCGGCUAACUACGUGCCAGCAGCCGCGGUAAUACGUAGGGUGCGAGCGUUAAUCGGAAUUACUGGGCGUAAAGCGUGCGCAGGCGGUUUUGUAAGCCAGAUGUGAAAUCCCCGGGCUUAACCUGGGAAUGGCAUUUGGGACUGCAAGGCUUGAGUGCGGCAGAGGAGACUGGAAUUCCUGGUGUAGCAGUGAAAUGCGUAGAUAUCAGGAGGAAUACCGAUGGCGAAGGCAGGUCUCUGGGCUGACACUGACGCUCAUGCACGAAAGCGUGGGGAGCAAACAGGAUUAGAUACCCUGGUAGUCCACGCCCUAAACGAUGUCGACUGGUUGUUGGGGGUUUGACACUCUCAGUAACGAAGCUAACGCGUGAAGUCGACCGCCUGGGG